rfam:Pristionchus pacificus strain PS312 contig12227, whole genome shotgun sequence.
UCUUCAUUUCACGCACUCUCUCAUCGGUCAGAGUGACGUGAGAGAGUGUGCAAAAUGAAGAGA